rnacentral:rRNA from 1 species
GAUGAACGCUAGCGGCAGGCCUAAUACAUGCAAGUCGGACGGGAUUCAGGAGCUUGCUUCUGAUGAGAGUGGCGCACGGGUGCGUAACACGUAUGUAACCUACCUUUAUCAGGGGGAUAGCCUCUCGAAAGAGAGAUUAAGCCCGCAUAAAAUCACAGCACAGCAUUGUGUAAUGAUCAAAUAUUUAUAGGAUAAAGAUGGGCAUGCGGAACAUUAGCUAGAUGGCGGGGUAACGGCCCACCAUGGCGACGAUGUUUAGGGGAUCUGAGAGGAUGGCCCCCCACACUGGUACUGAGACACGGACCAGACUCCUACGGGAGGCAGCAGUAAGGAAUAUGGGUCAAUGGGCGGAAGCCUGAACCAGCCAUGCCGCGUGCAGGAAGACGGCCCUACGGGUUGUAAACUGCUUUUAGACGGGAAUAAACCCAGAUACGUGUAUCUGGCUGAAUGUACUGUAAGAAUAAGGAUCGGCUAACUCCGUG